GUCAGGAUGGCCGAGCGGUCUAAGGCGCUGCGUUAAGGUCGCAGUCUCCCCUGGAGGCGUGGGUUCGAAACCCACUUCUGACA
rnacentral:tRNA from 2 species